rnacentral:rRNA from 1 species
UACGUAGGAGACGAGCGUUGUCCGGAGUUACUGGGCGUAAAGGGUGCGCAGGCGGCCCUGCGCGUCGCGAGUGAAAUCUCCCGGCUCAACUGGGAGGGUGGUCGCGAGACGGCAGGGCUUGAGGCUCGGUGAGGGGCGUGGAAUUCCGGGUGUAGCGGUGGAAUGCGUAGAGAUCCGGAAGAACACCAGUGGCGAAGGCGGCCCGCUGGGCAGUGGCUGACGCUGAGGAGCGAAAGCGUGGGGAGCGAACAGG